rnacentral:rRNA from 1 species
AUGGAGCCGACCUUGAAAUACCACCCUUUAAUGUUUGAUGUUCUAACGUUGACCCGUAAUCCGGGUUGCGGACAGUGUCUGGUGGGUAGUUUGACUGGGGCGGUCUCCUCCUAAAGAGUAACGGAGGAGCACGAAGGUUGGCUAAUCCUGGUCGGACAUCAGGAGGUUAGUGCAAUGGCAUAAGCCAGCUUGACUGCGAGCGUGACGGCGCGAGCAGGUGCGAAAGCAGGUCAUAGUGAUCCGGUGGUUCUGAAUGGAAGGGCCAUCGCUCAACGGAUAAAAGGUACUCCGGGGAUAACAGGCUGAUACCGCCCAAGAGUUCAUAUCGACGGCGGUGUUUGGCACCUCGAUGUCGGCUCAUCACAUCCUGGGGCUGAAGUAGGUCCCAAGGGUAUGGCUGUUCGCCAUUUAAAGUGGUACGCGAGCUGGGUUUAGAACGUCGUGAGACAGUUCGGUCCCUAUCUGCCGUGGGCGCUGGAGAACUGAGGGGGGCUGCUCCUAGUACGAGAGGACCGGAGUGGACGCAUCACUGGUGUUCGGGUUGUCAUGCCAA